rnacentral:sRNA from 1 species
GCUUAGCAUCAAGAGGUGAGAAGCUUGGGAAGAUAGAUUUAUGACCUUAGUUAGGGACUUGGCCGAACACCUAUGGGAAGACACUCAGCAUAAGAAACUACAUCUUUUCUUCUAGCAACUGUGCAUACCGACCGUCGAGAUCAAAACAGGCAGGGAAUUACUGGGUAGGCCUUAGGUGUCCAUGAGAUCCUGGGAUGGCAUGAGGCUCCAGGUAGACACAGGAGACUGCUCAGAACCUAGUUUCAACCUGGGAUAUUAUUAGACAUCAGUGAGACUCUGACAGAAGAAAAGGUACCGGUUACAUCCUCCUGACAGCAUGACACCUCAAAAAUAAUUUAGAGAAGGUAAUAGUCCCCUAAAAAUACCUGGGAAAAGCUUAGGACCCUAGAAACAUCAUAGAAAUGGAACAGGUUCCAGUGAGAAACUGGAGCAGGAUUGAGUCCAAGAGAGAACCAAGGAAAACAUUCAAGUCCAAGGAGGUCCUAAGGAAGACUUUAAGCCUUAAUGAGAAUCUAAGACAGACUUUAGAUCUGAACGAAAAUCUCUGGGAAGCCAUAGCCAUGAGUGAGAAGGAGGGGAAUGAUUUCUUCCUCAGUGAGAAUGUGGAAGACAGUUAGAACCAGUGAAAAACCACAGUUUGGAUUUGGUGAGGCCUUAGGUUUCCGUGAAUACCUUUUGAAAGCCUUGGGUUGCAGUAAGAACACCGAAAGCUCUUCUAUCCCAGGGAGGUAUUGCAGAAGACUUUUAAUGCUGUGUGAUCCUGGGGACAUUCUUAGACUGACAGAGAAUCUAGGCAAGAUCUUAGAUUCAACUUUCAAAUAUUGGCAUUGGAUUCUAUGUUCUAUAUAUGGUCUCAUUGUCUUAGGAAAUUAGAGCAACAAAUUGGCUCCAAACCUGGGGAUUAGACCCUAAGCAAUUUGAGGGAAAAUUCACUUCUCCCCAAAAUAUGCAACUAGCAGUAAUGUGGAAAUGAAACACCUAGUAGGUCUAACAAGUUUCUACAGAGCUACUGAGAAGCUCCCUCCCUAAGCCCCAUUCAAACCGUGGCAACAAGAGGCAGAAACACAUCCCAGAGCUGGGACUUAGCCAGCACCAAUGUCACAGCAUGUUUGAGGUUUUUGAGCCUAAAGAAGGACCAAGGACGCUGGGGCAGGACUUCCUGUGAAGCAUCAGAGCUUAGCAUCAAGAGGUGAAAAAAAUGGCAGCCGACUUUCCAAAGGCUUCUCCCAGGUCCAGCAGGCUGAUCAGGACAGAGAAGAACCAGACCUGCUCUACAGACUGUGUACACUGCAGGCUGCUGGAGAUCGCUGCCCAUGCUGCCAUCAGCUCUGCAAACACAAGAGUUGCCUCAUAAGCCCAGAUGCUGUGGGUCCUUCUCCAGUUAGCUCCUCCCUGCCAGUGAAAGAAUUGGAGAGUACUACAGUGUCCUGAGUUGAACACUAGAGGGAGACAAAGGCACAAAAAGCUGGAAUAAGCUUCUUGUGACUUUCAAGAACUCUCUCGGAUCCAGAGGACCCACUCUGUUUGUACAGGAAGGAGCUCCCUUUGCUGAUUCAUGGGUGGUGUCUGCCAGAUGGAUGGACUGGACAGAAACUGCAGCUUGAUGUUUCCUGGACUGCUGAAGACUUUGAAAGGGACUAUGUUGGUCUUCCCUACGGAUGGAGGGUUUCCUGCGAUCUUAACCAUUCAACUGCCUCCUUCCAUGAAAUAAUUGAGCCAAGAUUCAGAUAAGAUUCUUCAGGCAGGUGAGAUGCUUGGGAAGGUAGAUUUUUGACCUUAGUUAGGAACUUGGCCGAACACCUAUGGGAAGACACUCAGCAUAAGAAACUACAUCUUUUCUUCUAGCAACUGUGCAUACCGACCGUCGAGAUCAAAACAGGCAGGGAAUUACUGGGUAGGCCUUAGGUGUCCAUGAGAUCCUGGGAUGGCAUGAGGCUCCAGGUAGACACAGGAGACUGCUCAGAACCUAGUUUCAACCUGGGAUAUUAUUAGACAUCAGUGAGACUCUGACAGAAGAAAAGGUACCAGUUACAUCCUCCUGACAGCAUGACACCUCAAUGAUAAUUUAGAGAAGGUAAUAGUCCCCUAAAAAUACCGGGGAAAAACUUUGGACCCUGGAAACAUCAUAGAAAUGGAACAGGUUCCAGUGAGACCCUGGAGCAGGAUUGAGUCCAAGAGAGAACCAAGGAAAACAUUCAAGUCCAAGGAGGUCCUAAGGAAGACUUUAAGCCUUAAUGAGAAUCUAAGACAGACUUUAGAUCCGAAGGAAAAUCUCUGGGAAGCCAUAGCCAUGAGUGAGAAGGAGGGGAAUGAUUUCUUCCUCAGUGAGAAUGUGGAAGACUGUUAGAACCAGUGAAAAAACACAGUUUGGAUUUGGUGAGGCCUUAGGUUUCUGUGAAUACCUUUUGAAAGCCUUGGGUUGCAGUAAGAACACCAAAAGCUCUUCUAUGCCAGGGAUGUAUUGGAGAAGACUUUAAACGCUGUGUGAUCCUGGGGACAUUCUUAGACCUGACAGAGAAUCUAGGCAAAACCUUAGGUUCAACUUUGCAAUAUUGUAGGACACAGAUCGAACCCUGUCAAGGCCUGAGAUCUUGUGUUUCUCAGGAAGGCCUAACAUACCAGUGUAAUCUUUCCAGAAGUUGACGACACACCGAGAAUCUCUAAGAUCCUUUCUGUUUCACAAAGAAACUAGGGAAGACAGGAGGUCUCAAUAACACUUUGAAGAAGGCCUUUAGCCACAUGGAGAUCUUUUGGAAUGUUGGACGUCGUAUUUCGAACAUGAAGAAAGCCUUCAUUCCCUGUGAAAAUCUCGGAUGGGUUCCUAGACUGCAAUAGAAGUUAAGAAAUAUAUCGGCCCACUUGAUACCCUGUGCAUAGGCUCUAGCAAGAUGCUGUGCAAGGAAUUAGGCCACAGAUACGACUUUGGAAAGCUGUAGGCCACAGGGGUAACCUGGGAAUUCUUGUGGGCCUUGGACCAUAGGCUUCAUUGUGUCUUUGGAGGGAGGUCUUAAAGCAUACGUAGUGUUCCCAUUUAAAUUAUCCAGUCCUGCUUUUUGUAUUGUGAUGCUAAUUCUGCCCCCAGACAGCAGACCACAAAAUACCCAGGUGAUUUCAUGGGAACCGUCUUCCUAUAUUAACCUGUCAAUAAAUCUAGAGCUUCUGAUCGGAGACUAGAAGGGAAAGGUGAGACUGGAGGUUUGACGGUGGUAGCAGCUGGAGAGAGGGAAGGGCAAAAAAUCAAGGAGAGCGGCCUGUAGAGGAGGAGCUGAGAUCGACCUGAUUGCAUUGGAUUCUAUGUUCUAUAUAUGGUCUCAUUGGCUUUGGAAAUUAGAGCAACAAAUUGGCUCCAAACCUGGGGAUUAGAACCCAAGCAACUUGAGGGAAAAUUCACUCCUCCCCACUAUAGGCAAGUAGGGCUGGGCUGUAAAGUUGCCUUGGGGUGAAAAUGAAACACCUAGUGGGUCUACAAGGUUCUAUACAUCUACUGAGAAUCUCCCUCCCUAAGCCCCAUUUAGACCAUGACAGUAACCCAUCUCUGAGUUCAGACUUACCCCAGUACCAAUGUCACAACAUAGUUGGGGUUCGUUGAGCCUAAA